GACAGAGGCCUCGAGCGUUAGGCGGAAUCACUGGGCUUAAAGCGUGUGUAGGCGGGCCCGUAAGUGUCUUGUGAAAUCCCACGGCUCAACCGUGGAACUGCUGGGCAUACUGCGGGUCGUGGGCCAACUAGGGGCAGCCGGAACAAGCGGAUGGAGCGGUGAAAUGCGUAGAUAUUCGCAAGAACACCAGUGGCGAAGGCGGCUCACUGGCCCGGUAC
rnacentral:rRNA from 1 species